rnacentral:hammerhead_ribozyme from 1 species
AUCUCUCUGACGAGUCUCAAAUAGGACGAAACGCGCGUCCUGGAU